AAUAUAGUCAGUGGGGGUAGACGCGAAACUUUGUGAUCUAUCCAUGGGCAGGUUGAAGGUUUGGUAACACAAACUGGAGGACCGAACUCAUUAGCGUUGAAAAGCUAUGGGAUGACCUGUGGAUAGGGGUGAAAGGCCAAUCAAACUGAGAGAUAGCUCGUUCUCCCCGAAAUGUUUUUAGGAACAGCCUCGUAUUAAGAGUUAUCAUAGAGGUAGAGCUACUAAUUGGGCUAGGGGGCUUCACCGCCUACCAAACCCUAAUAAACUCCGAAUGCUAUGAUAUAUCUACGGGAGUGAGGCUGUGGGCGCUAAGGUCCAUGGCCGAGAGGGAAAUAACCCAGAUUAACAGCUAAGGUCCCUAAUCGUAUGUUAAGUUGAACAAACGCAGUUCAAAUCCUAUAACAGCCAGGAUGUUGGCUUGGAAGCAGCCAUUCAUUUAAAGAGUGCGUAACAGCUCACUGGUCGAGGGUUUGAGCACGGAAAAUAAUCGGGCAUCAAACAUACAACCGAAGCUUUAGGAUCAUCGUAAGAUGAUCGGUAGGGGAGCAUUCUAAACUGCAUUGAAGGUGUACUGCGAGGUAUGCUGGAGCGUUUAGAAAAGAAAAUGUAGGCAUAAGUAACGAUAAAAUAGGUGAAAAACCUAUUCGCCGUAAGACUAAGGGUUCCUGAUCAACGCUAAUCGGAUCAGGGUUAGUCGGGUCCUUAGGCAAAGCCGAGAGGCGUAGCUGAUGGCAAACUGGUGAAUAUUCCAGUACCUGCUAUAAUUUCGAUGGGGUAACGGAGUAGUGAACAGACCGCGCACUUACGGAAUAGUGCGUUAAAGGGUGUAGUUAUAUUUUUUGUAGGAAAAUCCGCAGAGAAUGAUGAACCUGAUAGUACGACAAAGCUUCGGCUGCGUUGAUAGUGUCUCUAAGCAGACUUCCAAGAAAAACCUCUAAGGUUAGGUUAUAGCAGCCCGUACCGUAAACCGACACAGGUAGUCGAGGAGAGUAUCCUCAGGCGCUCGAGUGAUCCGUGGUAAAGGAACUAGGCAAAUUGACGCUGUAACUUCGGGAUAAGGCGUACCGCAGUAAUGCGGUCUCAGUAAAAUGGUCCAACCAACUGUUUAACAAAAACACAGGGCCCUGCAAAAUCGUAAGAUGACGUAUAGAGCCUGAUACCUGCCCGGUGCUGGAAGGUUAAGGAAGGAUGUUCGGA
rnacentral:rRNA from 1 species